rnacentral:misc_RNA from 1 species
ACGGGCGGCAUGCAUGCAGAGGCGAAGGCCUCCACGUCCGUGAGAGCCUCGCACAUCCUCAUCAAUCACGAGGGAUCGCGACGCAAGGCCUCGUGGAAGGAUCCCGAGGGCCGCAUCAUCGGAGCCACCACGCGCGAUGCCGCCGUCGCCCAGCUCCGCGUCUUCCGGGAGGACAUCGUCGCCGGAAGAGCCCGAUUCGAGGACAUCGCGAAACAACACUCCGACUGCAGCUCCGCCAAGCGCGGCGGCGACCUAGGUUCUUUUGGUCCGCGCCAGAUGCAGAAGCCUUUUGAGGAUGCUACAUUUGCUCUGCAAGUGGGUGAGAUUAGUGACAUUGUGGAUACUGACAGCGGAGCCCAUAUCAUCCUCAGGACUGGUUAAACUAGGGUAAAAUCUUCAGCGUCUGGGAGCCCAAUUCGACGUA